rnacentral:rRNA from 1 species
AUGGAUAAGACGGCGUCAAGUUCGGGUACGGCCAACUCCGAUCUUGAAGCUAUGAUGGCGGAACUAGGAUUGAAGGAGGACGAACUGCAUGAUGUGAUGGUGGAAGAAGCCGAGCUGAUGGCGGAGGCGACCCGAUGGAUGGCGAUUGCUAGGGUUCACACUGAUAAAAACUAUAGUCAGUAUUGGUUCUAUAAGAACCUGAGGGUAGCCUGGGAUUUGUCUCAGGAGGUGAAGAUCAGACCGCUCGAGGAUAAUCUUUACUCGAUGCAAUUUUCUUGCCUUGGUGAUUGGGAAAGAGUGAUGGAGGAUGGACCAUGGAACUUCAAAGGAAAAUCUGUUGUCCCGGCACCGUAUGACGGCUUCACAAAACCCUCGCUGAUUGAGUUAAACAAAAUUGAUAUAUGGAUUCAGAUCCAUGAUUUGCCAGAUGGUUUUUUCUCCAAAGUAAAGGCCUUGUCAGCAACAGUGGGCGAAUUCAUAUUUGCAGAACCGAAAUCACAUGACUUUUGA